ACAAUUAUUCAUUCAAGAGCACACAUUAUUAAAGAUCAAUAGCACAAUAUAAAGAUCCCUUGAUUCAACUACAAGAUCAAAGCAUCAAAAUUUCCAAGUAUCUUUUGCAUAAUUGGUUGAUCAAGUAUUCAAUCGAGAGCACAUGAUACAAAGAUCAAAUUGAUUCCAUAAAUCUCUGGUUUCAACCUCAAAAUCAAAGCACAAAAGAUCAAGCACCAAAAAUAAUAAUACCUUCACCAAUAAGCCUUCAGAGUUUUAAGUUGGUAGAAAUGGCUAGAGAUCUAGUUGUUCCAGAAUGAGUUCGUUUUAGUAAUCCACGUGAAUGGAAAAAAGUUCAUAGUUCUAAGAAAGUGCAGGUUGCACAAUCGAAGAGGUUCCUUGGUGGUUUACAUGUUGGGUAGUCAAAGUCUACUAAAGUUCAACUAUGUUUAGACCAACUGCAAGUUAUCUUGUCUGGUGGAUCUUUUUAGCAAGGCCUGUUUGGUGGUUUUUGAUCCCUGUGAAGAGUUCAUCAAGGGGCUUUCCUUUGUUACCAUAUUUGGUGUUGAUUUAUUGUUAUGUUUUAAUGUUUAUAUUGCAUGAUUGACACUUAUAGUUUAAUUUGACAUUAAACUUAAUCAUCUAUAAUAAUAAAUAAGUGACUUAUUGCGUUUUAUUGAUUACUUAAUUUUGUACAUACACCUCUAGGUGCUGUUGGGUCCAAGUAUUUGAUCGAUUAUUUUUAUUCAAUUGAUAAUAGAGCAUAAUUCAAUCUGUGAGCCAAUUUUGUCUAGAUGAGUCAAUCAUUUUAUAUUCCUACAUAAUUUGACGAAAGUAAUUACACUUACUCGAAAGUUAAAGUGAGAGCCCUUUUAAUGUCAAUGGAUUAGCAGGUUUGGGUUAGUGUAGAAAGGAGUUGGACCACCUAUUUUUCUAGUUGUGUUGCCUAAAAUUUAUUUGCCAAUUAAUAGGAAUGUCAUGUGUAGUAAGUCUUUAUGCAAGUCAAUUCAUUACGCCUAGUAGUUAAUUUGCAUCUAAAUGAUAUUUUUCUUAGUAGUUGAGUGAUCGAAGUAGAAAUAAAUAAAUUGUAAAUGAAAUAGUAUACAUAUUCGUUUCCUUCAUGAUUUUUUGGCCAAUACAGUUUUUGAAAAUAAAAUAAAAUUAA
rnacentral:lncRNA from 1 species